GUGUUCCCUCGCGAGCUGCGGCUGGGCCUGGGGGCGUCAUGCCCACGGCACAUCUGUCCACACCGCCAGGUUGCCAGAUCAGCGCUCGACCAUGGGCACAUUGCAUUUCCCAGCUUUCCCAGUUUUGCGGGAAUCCCGUUAUUGCUGGUAACUGUUAACAGGCGAGGGGGAUGAUGUCAUCACUGGCACGAGUGUCCUGCGCUCACCCCAACAUCCUGUGCCGGCACAGAGAAUGGGCGCAGCCCUCUGGAACACAAUGGCCUCUUUCUCCUCCCCAGUAUCGAUCCACAGAGACGUGUGGCCGGACAGCCAGCCAGCCAGCCAGACAGUCAGAGGUCAGCCGAUAUGGCCACCCCAUUAUGCCAUGAUCAGGGGCAGCUAUUUUCAGCCCAGCCGCCGACUGCCCACACACCCACGCUCCUAGUGCCCCCACACUAUGCGGUCUCAUUAAAGCAAUGUGAUAAUGGGUUUGCCCUUUGACUUAGGCACACAGAGCAGACAAGUUCAUAAAGCGGUGACUGAUUUCAUGUCAGAGCAGGCACUGCCCAUAGCAUAUGCAGAGAGCAUACCAAAUACCAGACCUCCUGGUCGAUGGUUGGGACUGUGGUUGUGUUAUCAUCUCUCUGCUUGGUGGUGGAGCUGUAGACUGGUCUGGUAUUGCACACAGAUAUUGAAUACUUCAGAUGCUUGAUGUGGCCACAGCUACUUGGGUUCUCCAUGAGAGACGUAGGAGAGAUGGAGUCCAUUUUUGCAGGCACUUAAUACAACACUAACAAUCUAUUUCUGUUAAAGGACCUUUUAAUAGAAUGCAACUUCCAGGCGAAAUGUGGCUUGUUACCAGGAGUCGAGCCACUUGUAUCCAGCUAGAAAACAUGAACCCUACUCUUUAUGCAAACUCUACUCUUCGUGCGAACCCUAUUCUUUGUGAACUAUACUUUUGAUUUAAAUCAUGCUCUAUGUGAACACUAAUCUUUGUAUAAACCUUACUCUUCAUGUGAACUGUUUGUGAUUUAUACUCUUUAUGUGGAAACUACUAUUUAUAUAAAAUCCUAUAUUUUA